UACAGAGGGGGCAAGCGUUGUUCGGAAUUACUGGGCGUAAAGGGCGCGUAGGCGGCCUUCUAAGUCGAACGUGAAAUCCCUCGGCUCAACCGAGGAACUGCGUCCGAUACUGGUGGGCUUGAAUCCGGGAGAGGGAUGUGGAAUUCCAGGUGUAGCGGUGAAAUGCGUAGAUAUCUGGAGGAACACCGGUGGCGAAGGCGGCAUCCUGGACCGGUAUUGACGCUGAGGCGCGAAAGCUAGGGGAGCAAACGGG
rnacentral:rRNA from 1 species